rnacentral:misc_RNA from 1 species
GCUCCAGAGAUGCUAAUAUAACCUAUGAAGUGAAAAAGUUAUAACUGAUGUACAAUGAGUUUCAAUUAUGUUUGAUAAUUAGGAACAAUUCUUUGCAUUUUCCUUAAUUACCAUUAGAGUCAACAAACAGCAAACAAAUAUUUUAAGAAGCAAACCACAUCUGAAAAAACUAUACCCUAACUUAGGUUAAUGUGAUGAUUUUUGGCUUGACAAUCUUUUUUUUUUUUUUAAUUGGUUUCACACUUGCUCAAGGGGACUAAACUGAUUCUUGUUUUGGACAUGGCAUGUGUGAGAAAGCCAAGCAAAUAUGUACCAUUCUAAUCAACAAUACUCAUCACUACAAGAAUGCAAAAAGAAUUAGGAACAUUUAGCACUUGAACAAGAAUUAGUCAGACAAAUAUUGAUAUAAUACAUUUUAAGUGUCAUUUCCAAACAGGAUUGAGAUUCUUUACAUCCACAUCAGUUGGUUCUCACAUGCCAUUAGUGGGAGAACAGCAUAUUCUACAAGUAAAAUGCAUAUACCUGCCUCUCACUUUACAAGGAGCAAGUUCAUUCAAAAUUAGAAAGAGUUGUAAGGAGGAAAGCAAUGUCCCAAAAUAACUGAACUUUAAAAAACACAUUCCAAUUGUAUACUAUAGCAUUUAAUUAUUAAAGUUUACAUUGUUCAAAAAGUUCUUUAUUUUAUUAGCAGCCAGAAUUGGGCUAUAUUUCUUAAUGAAUAUGCCACUGGAUCACUAAUACUGUCAAACCUUGCCGCUUUUACUUUUAACGAAUUAUAUUAUUAUUCAAUGGAGAGAGGAGAUGA